CAAAUAACUCCCAUUUCUCCCAAAUCGUAGAACGGUGGAAGGUUGGAAGAAAACGCUUUUCCAAUUUCUUCAAUCUUCCUUCGCCGCUCGCCCUUGCCUGCACAACGCUGCACACGAGUGACGAGACACGACAGUGUUGGAGACCGCCGUUUUCGCCCCUACCCUACAGGCUGCAUUGUGAGACACUUCUUCCUUCGCCGCCGCCGGUUCGGCCCUGAUUUCUAAUUGUUUUUCUAACAUGACUUUUGACUUCAUUCUGAAAAUCUUUCAUCUUUUUGAAUUUUGGAGUAUAGAUAGAUAUAUUGUUGUGUUGUCAGUUGAUAUACUAAUUAAUUAUCCAAUAAGCCAUAAAAUAUUGUAUCAUUAAUGAAUAGGGUGGAUUAAAAUUUAAAAGUACAAAAUUUAAUUAAAAACAAGAUUAAUGCAAUUUUAGUUAUCUUCAGAAUUCAAGAUUACUGCAAGUUUAGUUAUCUUCAUAAUUUACUUCUGUUAAUUAUUAUAUUCCUCAAAUAGUGGACUAAGGGUGAGGGAUAUAAUUAAAUAAUUGAACAGUGCCAAUAUAUUAUGUGAGUGCUUACAUUUUUUAAAUGAAAAUUUUCACAGGGUAUGAAUCAUAUGAUUGCCUGUUUGUAUGUGCUGACUGCUAACUACUAAAUUGGCAAAUUUAAAUUUAUUGUAUUGUAAUUUGUAGGUGCUAACUGCUCAACACCAUUUUUAACGGUUUAAAGGUAUCAUUUUGGCAUGAAAUUGGAGCAGAAUCGCAGAAUUCUUUGUCCACUUGGCGAGCAAGUUCUUUGGUUCACUGGUUGGAGACUUGGAGCCAAUAUUAAUGCCAAAUGAUUCCUUCCUCAUGUCAAUGACUUAAGUUGAUAAGUUGAUGUUAAAUAUGUUGUGAUUUAUUCAUUUGGGAAUUAAAAAAUUGCGAAUUGUGAUUUAUGAAUUAUGAUAAGUAAUUUACAUUUUAUGAGUUAUGAUUAUUGAUUUGGGAAUUUAUGUUUACGAAAUUAUAUUUGCAUUCGUGAUUUAUGAUAAGUAAUUUAUGUUUUGAUGAGGAAUGAUUAUUGAUUUGGAAAUUUAUGUUUACGAAAUUAUGUUGUGAAUUGUGAUUUAUGAUAAGUAAUUUAUGUUUU
rnacentral:lncRNA from 1 species